GAUGAACGCUGGCGGCGUGCUUAACACAUGCAAGUCGAACGGGAAACCUUUUACUGAAGCUUCGGCAGAUUUAGCUGGUUUCUAGUGGCGGACGGGUGAGUAACGCGUGGGUAACCUGCCUUAUACAGGGGGAUAACAGUCAGAAAUGACUGCUAAUACCGCAUAAGCGCACAGGACCGCAUGGUCCGGUGUGAAAAACUCCGGUGGUAUAAGAUGGACCCGCGUUGGAUUAGCUUGUUGGUGGGGUAACGGCUCACCAAGGCGACGAUCCAUAGCCGGCCUGAGAGGGUGAACGGCCACAUUGGGACUGAGACACGGCCCAGACUCCUACGGGAGGCAGCAGUGGGGAAUAUUGCACAAUGGGGGAAACCCUGAUGCAGCGACGCCGCGUGAAGGAAGAAGUAUCUCGGUAUGUAAACUUCUAUCAGCAGGGAAGAUAGUGACGGUACCUGACUAAGAAGCCCCGGCUAACUACGU
rnacentral:rRNA from 1 species